AUGAAGUUCCCAGAAGCCUGUGGGGGGAAAGUUGGAAUGUGUGACCUCCCAGCACGUGUAAGGGUUGUUUUCUCACUGUUAGUGUUGGCUGAUCUGGUGAGGGAAUCUCCUCCUCCUUCCCCCCGCCUCCCACCGCCUCCUGCGGGGGGGACCGCGCACCUGCGCCCCCGCGCGCCGCCAGCGGGGGCAUUGGGGGGCCCGGACUGGGGGCGGGGAGGUGGGC
rnacentral:lncRNA from 1 species